ensembl:lncRNA GTF3C2-AS1 GTF3C2 antisense RNA 1
GGGCGGAUGUGCAAUCUUCACCUGUUUAUUCGGUAGAGGGUGCCAUCUUCAGGUAGCCCUUCACGUUGUACAGAAAACAAUGGAGACUUCUCCUCCUGGGGCAGGUUCAGUGCAUGAUGCCACCAUUUAAGCUGGAAACUGCUAUUCAACUUCCUCCCUCCCUUCAAUUCCCAAAUACUGUUAAUUCUCUUACAUAUUCCAUUAUGUGAGAGAACACAGAAACAAAAGAAUUACAAAAAUAAAAAUAAAAAAUU